rnacentral:tRNA from 1 species
UCAGGGUUCGUCUAGAGGUAGGACGCCCGCCCUUACAAGUAGGAAACGUCGGUCCGAAUCCGGCACCCUGAA